GUGAGGAAUAUUGGUCAAUGGACGGAAGUCUGAACCAGCCAUGCCGCGUGCAGGAAUAAGGUCCUAUGGAUUGUAAACUGCUUUUAUUCGGGAAUAAACCUCUUUACGUGUAGGGAGCUGAAGGUACCGAAGGAAUAAGCACCGGCUAACUCCGUGCCAGCAGCCGCGGUAAUACGGAGGGUGCAAGCGUUAUCCGGACUCAUUGGGUUUAAAGGGUCCGCAGGCGGGCUAUCAAGUCAGAGGUGAAAUCCCACAGCUUAACUGAGGAACUGCCGUUGAAACUGAUGGUCUUGAAGUAAGUGGGCGUUGGCGGAAUAUGACAUGUAGCGGUGAAAUGCAUAGAUAUGUCAUGGAACACCGAAAGCGAAGGGAGCUAACGAUACUUAUAUUGACGCUCAUGGACGAAAGCGUGGGUAGCGAACAGGAUUAGAAACCCCGGUAGUCC
rnacentral:rRNA from 1 species